rnacentral:lncRNA from 1 species
AAUGAAAGUACUGUUGGCAAUGUAAGCACAUAGACUUCUAGAUUAAUGCUUACAUUUCCCUCUUUACAGCAAAACCAAAAAAAAAAAUGAAGUGUUGGUAAUGCAAAGAUCAACCAAUAUUUGAUAAUAACAUGGACAUUUGAAAAAUGAGGUAGCUAGCUCCAUCUCUCUCCUUCUCUCAAUGCAUUCAUGUAUGGUGAUCCCGUCACUUACCAAACACUUCAGAUAUUGGUGUGGGAUCGAUCGCACGGCGAUCCCUUCAACUGUGGUUGUCAG